rnacentral:rRNA from 1 species
UACAGAGGGUGCGAGCGUUAAUCGGAAUUACUGGGCGUAAAGGGUGCGUAGGCGGUUGUUUAAGUGUGAUGUGAAAGCCCCGGGCUUAACCUGGGAAGAGCAUCGCAAACUGAAUAGCUUGAGUAUAAGAGAGGGUGGCGGAAUUUCCGGUGUAGCGGUGAAAUGCGUAGAGAUCGGAAGGAACGUCGAUGGCGAAGGCAGCCACCUGGCUUAAUACUGACGCUGAGGCACGAAAGCGUGGGGAGCGAACAGG